GCCGCAAGGUUAAAACUCAAAUGAAUUGACGGGGGCCCGCACAAGCGGUGGAGCAUGUGGUUUAAUUCGAUGCAACGCGAAGAACCUUACCUGGUCUUGACAUCCACGGAAGUUUUCAGAGAUGAGAAUGUGCCUUCGGGAACCGUGAGACAGGUGCUGCAUGGCUGUCGUCAGCUCGUGUUGUGAAAUGUUGGGUUAAGUCCCGCAACGAGCGCAACCCUUAUCCUUUGUUGCCAGCGGUCCGGCCGGGAACUCAAAGGAGACUGCCAGUGAUAAACUGGAGGAAGGUGGGGAUGACGUCAAGUCAUCAUGGCCCUUACGACCAGGGCUACACACGUGCUACAAUGGCGCAUACAAAGAGAAGCGACCUCGCGAGAGCAAGCGGACCUCAUAAAGUGCGUCGUAGUCCGGAUUGGAGUCUGCAACUCGACUCCAUGAAGUCGGAAUCGCUAGUAAUCGUGGAUCAGAAUGCCACGGUGAAUACGUUCCCGGGCCUUGUACACACCGCCCGUCACACCAUGGGAGUGGGUUGCAAAAGAAGUAGGUAGCUUAACCUUCGGGAGGGCGCUUACCACUUUGUGAUUCAUGACUGGGGUGAAGUCGUAACAAGGUAACCGUAGGGGAACCUGCGGUUGGAUCACCUCCUUACCUUAAAGAAGC
rnacentral:rRNA from 1 species